rnacentral:misc_RNA from 1 species
GUAACAAGGUUUCCGUAGGUGAACCUGCGGAAGGAUCAUUAAAGAGUAAGGGUGCUCAGCGCCCGACCUCCAACCCUUUGUUGUUAAAACUACCUUGUUGCUUUGGCGGGACCGCUCGGUCUCGAGCCGCUGGGGAUUCGUCCCAGGCGAGCGCCCGCCAGAGUUAAACCAAACUCUUGUUAUUUAACCGGUCGUCUGAGUUAAAAUUUUGAAUAAAUCAAAACUUUCAACAACGGAUCUCUUGGUUCUCGCAUCGAUGAAGAACGCAGCGAAAUGCGAUAAGUAAUGUGAAUUGCAGAAUUCAGUGAAUCAUCGAAUCUUUGAACGCACAUUGCGCCCCUUGGUAUUCCGAGGGGCAUGCCUGUUCGAGCGUCAUUACACCACUCAAGCUAUGCUUGGUAUUGGGCGUCGUCCUUAGUUGGGCGCGCCUUAAAGACCUCGGCGAGGCCACUCCGGCUUUAGGCGUAGUAGAAUUUAUUCGAACGUCUGUCAAAGGAGAGGAACUCUGCCGACUGAAACCUUUAUUUUUCUAGGUUGACCUCGGAUCAGGUAGGGAUACCCGCUGAACUUAAGCAUAUCA